rnacentral:rRNA from 1 species
AACGAACGCUGGCGGCAGGCCUAACACAUGCCAGUCGAGCGCCCCGCCAGGGGAGCGGCGGACGGGUGAGUAACGCGUGGGAACGUACCCUUUGCUACGGAAUAGCCUCGGGAAACUGGGAGUAAUACCGUAUGUGUCCUUCGGGAGAAAGAUUUAUCGGCAAGGGAUCGGCCCGCGUUGGAUUAGGUAGUUGGUGGGGUAAUGGCCUACCAAGCCGACGAUCCAUAGCUGGUUUGAGAGGAUGAUCAGCCACACUGGGACUGAGACACGGCCCAGACUCCGACGGGAGGCGGCAGGGGGGAUUCUUAGCAAAGGGGCGCAGGCCUGAUCUCGCCUUGCGGGGUGAGGAAGGAAGCCUUUAGGGUUGAAAAGCCCUUUGGGGGGGAAAGAUAAUGACGGCCCCCAAAAAAGAAGCCCCGGCUAACUCCGGG